rnacentral:lncRNA from 1 species
UUGGUAGCAGGCUUAAUUUCUGACGCCCUGUUGUCCAAGGUUCUAAAGUUCAUUGGCUGCUGCCAUGCUAUAUUGAAGUCAUGGACAUUUUGUGUUUUCUUCCUGUCAAUUUCAUCCACAACUUUUCUGCUAAACUAGCUCAUGGCAUUCAGCUUUUGCCAUUGUUGUAGUUUGCACUACAAAUCCUUCAAUAAAUUAUCAUUACCUGCAGGACCGGUUCUUAUUCUCAAUUUCUUUCGAACUUUACACUUUAAGUUAUGCAAAAUUUAGAUUACCAGCAUUUCCAUUUGUUCUUUAGUCUAUCCAUGUUUAUUAACUUUAAUUGAAUUAUAAAUUCACCAAAAGAAGGAUAUGCAACAAUGACAACAGAAGGAUGUGCUUACAAGAGCCUGGUUGUUGCAAAAUGAUGUGGAGUUUGGUUUUCCUUCUAUGUCCCUAGGAAAGGAAUGAUCCAAAAGGAGUACUAAAAUGUUUAUGUUGGAUUGAUUGGAAAACUAAUACACAUAAAUGACAAUCAAAAUGUUUUCUUUUCCUGAAAUCAUUCCUUCCCAUUUAAAUGUCAAGUUGGCAAAUUAUCCUAAAUAUUAUUUUACUUACGUCACAAAUAUGAUUUUUCAUCAAUUUUUUAUAACAUAUAAAUAAACAUUAUAAAAGAAGCUAUAGUAAUUAUUUCAAAUAAUCUCCCAUCCAAACACUAAAUAUUUGUUUGCCUAUUUACGAUAUGCAACUUUUUUUUUUUUUUUUUUUGGCACUACGUCAGUUUUGCCAACCUUCUAGAUAUUUAAAGCAGGAAUAGUUAAGAGGGAAAAAAAAAAUGUUUGCCAUCUUGAAGGGCAGAGAUGUAACCUUAAAAGUUCACGAUGACGUAUUUUGCUGUAUAAUUUCAGAAAUGUCCUCUUAAGGUUUCUAACAGUUUUACUUGGCACCUUCAAACUUUUUAAAAAUCUCACUUGAUUCCCUUAGCUUAAAUUUCUUGUAACAUUUAAAUUCCAUUUCAAAAUAUAAUAUUAAACAAGCUCUCAUUUUGAGAGGGAGAAUAUAAAUUCCAAAUUUGUACUUAAUUAUUAUAACAGACUAAAUUUAUCUCUUAAUUUUUGUUAAUUGAUCAAUAUAGUUCUUUAAUAAAAGUUCAAAAGUUAUAUAAGAUCGAAAAAACUCUUUAAUAGUUUUGAUGUCAUUGGUUUGAACAAGAAAUGUUAAAUUACUUAAAAUUAUAAAUGAUUUACAAUGCUCUUAAAACUAACUUGCCAUAAUUUACAACCAAAAGAAUACCUUUUUGCACUAGCCUAAAAACAAUAUAAAUAAGUUCAUAUAUAAGUAUCUUUUUUCUUUUCAAGCCAUUGAUUUAAAAAAAUUGAAAAAUUCAAAAAUAUGUAAAAAAAUUAUAAAACUUCUUAGAUUAACUCAAGAUAAGAUAUUUUCUAUCUAACUUGCAAAAAA